GAUGAACGCUGGAGGCGUGCCUAAUACAUGCAAGUCGAGCGAACGGACGAGAAGCUUGCUUCUCUGAUGUUAGCGGCGGACGGGUGAGUAACACGUGGAUAACCUACCUAUAAGACUGGGAUAACUUCGGGAAACCGGAGCUAAUACCGGAUAAUAUUUUGAACCGCAUGGUUCAAAAGUGAAAGACGGUCUUGCUGUCACUUAUAGAUGGAUCCGCGCUGCAUUAGCUAGUUGGUAAGGUAACGGCUUACCAAGGCAACGAUGCAUAGCCGACCUGAGAGGGUGAUCGGCCACACUGGAACUGAGACACGGUCCAGACUCCUACGGGAGGCAGCAGUAGGGAAUCUUCCGCAAUGGGCGAAAGCCUGACGGAGCAACGCCGCGGGAGUGAUGAAGGUCUUCGGAUCGUAAAACGCUGUUAUUAGGGAAGAACAUAUGUGUAAGUAACUGUGCACAUCUUGACGGUACCUAAUCAGAAAGCCACGGCUAACUACGU
rnacentral:rRNA from 1 species